rnacentral:sRNA from 1 species
AGACAAAAUUGACUUUUGUGAGACAAAAUUGACUUUUGUGAGACAAAAUUGACAAAAUUGAAUUUUGUCUCAAAAAAUUGAAUCUUGUCUCACACAAUU